rnacentral:rRNA from 1 species
AACGAACGCUGGCGGCAGGCCUAACACAUGCAAGUCGAGCGAGAAGACGUAGCAAUACGUUUGUAAAGCGGCGAACGGGUGAGGAAUACAUGGGUAACCUACCCUCGAGUGGGGAAUAACUAGCCGAAAGGUUAGCUAAUACCGCGUACGCUCCUUGGACUUCGGUUCAGGGAGGAAAGCGAUACCGUGGGUAUCGCGCUCUUGGAUGGGCUCAUGUCCUAUCAGCUUGUUGGUGAGGAACGGCUCACCAAGGCUUCGACGGGUAGCUGGUCUGAGAGGACGAUCAGCCACACUGGCACUGCGACACGGGCCAGACUCCUACGGGAGCAGCAGUAAGGAAUAUUGCGCAAUGGGCGAAAGCCUGACGCAGCGACGCCGCGUGGGGGA